CAAUAGCGUAUAUUUAAGUUGUUGCAGUUAAAAAGCUCGUAGUUGGAUUUCGGAUGGGAUUUGCCGGUCCGUCGUUACGAUGUGCACUGGCCAGUCCUAUCUUGUUGUCGGGGACUAGCUCCUUGGAUUCACUUCCUGGGACUAGGAGCUGACGAGGUUACUUUGAGUAAAUUAGAGUGGUCAAAGCAAGCCUACGCUCUGAAUACAUUAGCAUGGAAUAACACGAUAGGACUCUGGCUUAUCUUGUUGGUCUGUGAGACCAGAGUAAUGAUUAAGAGGGACAGUCGGGGACAUUCGUAUUUCAUUGUCAGAGGUGAAAUUCUUGGAUUUAUGAAAGACGAACUUCUGCGAAAGCAUUUGUCAAGGAUGUUUUCAUUAA
rnacentral:rRNA from 1 species